rnacentral:misc_RNA from 1 species
GCGUCAGUCGCAACCAAGCAAGCACCGCUUUUUCGCCAGAGAUGGAAUGGCAGCCAAAAACAUUCAGCGAGAUGCAACAAGAUGAACGACUCAAGAGACUUGAACGGCAAUUAAAAUUAACGCAGAUUAGAAGAUCCUCUAGCUCACAGUUGUUGGCUUCUCAAAUGUCAACCUCUGGUAUAUCUAGUAUCCAUGGUGAUAACCAAUUGUCAGAGUUCAGUUACCACAUCCCAACAACUAAUUCAUCAAAAGUAGGAAGUGUCAUUGUAGCAUCGAGCAGCAAUUUGAGAAAGAAAGUAUUGAAGAAUGUUGAUGCGUCCACACAUUUAUGGCCAAGUACCUCAACGGAUAUUGAACCAGCCAUCAAUACUUUGAAAUCCGACAAAGAUGCCAUUAUGAUGCCACCGCCAGUAGCUACCAAAAAUCUUAAAUCAAGAUCUUCUAAUUAUAUGGGACAAAAAUCAUCUCAACAGGAUGUAUUGGUCAAUGGAACUGAUAGUGCAACUGAUAGAUCAGUUCUGGAAGGUUACGCAAAUGACAGUUCCACAAGUAUUCAUAACAUUCCUUCUGUGCACGGUUCAUCUCGGACUGACCACUUUUUUCCACCUCAAAACCAACCAGCUCUACAACAAUCAACAAAGAAUUCAGACACUUCCACACAACAUGUGAGACAUUUUCGAAACUGGGUAGUCCGGUUGAAUAAUCGUGGACAAAUCAUCAUUAAAGGAAAAUUAGAAAGUGGAGAACAAGCGAGGAGCAAAGCAGUUAGAAGACGACUGAAUUCGAAUACAUUAAUUUCGGUCCUUAAUCACAAAUAUCGCCUGGUUGGAGACUUAUGUGAUUCACGGGAGGAGCUGCCAAAAUAUGUUCGUAGAAAAUUUUCCAACGGCUUUCCCAUUGAUUGGGAAAAUGUUCAUCAGGUAUGGCAAAGCUACGUUGCUUCAGGUUGUAGCUCAAGUUUUAGAUGGCCUAGACCAGUAGCUGAUAGCGACGACGACAUACGAAGUGAUAUUACAGAAUUGCCUGCCUUACGACAAAAAUAUACCUCAAACAAUUCUGCAAGUAUCGUACCACCCUCUUCUCCACAUCAGCGGACCACACAAGUAAUAAAUAAAAGUUUCAUGAAUGGCGAUGCAUCUUUGAAACAGGCCCACAUUCCCAAAUGUUCCAUAUCAUCAAUUGAAAUAUUAGCCACAGCAAAUUCCGAUCAAGCCACAACGUCAAAGUUAGUUUCAAGUUUUGAGAACCCAGUUAGAAACCAAUCCACGCAAACAAGCAUGCAACCCGAGUUGGUUGCUCCAUCCAAAGAUGGAAAAUAUAUUCCGAGGUGGAAAAUUGAUUUUAUUAUUGAUAAUAUGAUGGAUAAAAAUUGCUCCAAAGAGUAUUUCGAUAAAGUUGUAACUGCUAUUGAUUGUAUCAAUGAAUUGUUGACAAUAUCGUCAACGACUAGUACUGAAACUGCAAAGAAUGAGGGUACUUUUUUGAAUUAUAAUUCAAAGGUUCACGUUGAAAUGUUGAGCACCCAAAUUGAUACUCAGACGGAAAGAGCAAAAGCCCAAGAAAGUCAGAAUCAAGUCAACCUACAAUACGAAACGCCAACUGCAUUCAAGACAGAUUCCUACUCUUUAGAAAGCUCGAGCGAACCAGAGGUGAAUCCAUCAUCUAAAAAUACAACAUAUUUCUACAAAGAACCAAGAGAAAUGAAAAGACAUAAUAUCACCGGGUGUGGGACACUAGAAUCAUUACCAAACAAUAUUAUGAUGUUGAAAUCUAGCAGUCACUUGCUUCCUAAUAAUCUUGUAAGUGAUGAUCGAAAUAACUUGGAUAAAGGUGAAUCAACUGUUACAUCUGACAACAUAAGAUAUCGGGAGCACAGAAAAAAUUUAACUGCAUCUGCAUUGCCUAUAGAACAACGCUCAGUGACAUCGCUUUCAAACAACAGGUGUAACCAACAAAACAUUCUCCAAACUACUGAUUCUGAAGCUGAAGUAACAUAUUCGAACAUGCAGAAAGCUGCUCUACUUAAUAACUUCACUCCUGCUCCUACUACAUCACGAAUCACGAGAAUGUCAAAGCCGAAGCUUGUAACUAAUGAUAGAAUUGCAGAUCCAUCACCUGUUUAUUGUGAGUCUGAUGUCUCAAUAGUGACUGCAUGUAUCACACCUAGUGCAAAAACUAAAAUAUCAACUGCUGAGGGUAAAUCAGAUGGUUCAAGAAAAUGGCAUUACGAAAAAGAUUCAUCGCGUAUAAAGUCGGAGUCAUCAAAACAGAAGAAUGAUAACCACGGUCAAACCAGUCCUCUAAAACCUGCUGACACUGCAAACUCAAAUGCCCUCAACAUUGCGCGCUCACCAUCGGUUCGAUCGUUAUCCAAGUGUGCCGUCGUACUAAAUAAAAUCACUACACCGCAUCGUAAUGUUGACAGAAGCAGCCAACCUAUCGCUAAUGCGGAAAAUUCAGCUGGAUAUCACAAGAGUAGAUCAGAAAUCGAUCAGGAGACGCAUGAGGUGCCUGACAAUGAAUCGGAAGGCUUGAGCAUGCGAACGAGUUCACGUGGACGUUGCUUGAUACCGCCGUUGGAUUAUUGGAACGGUGAGAGACUCAUGCUUAAAGGUCAUAAAUUAGUGUAUAAUCCGGGCAUGCCUUAUGCGGGGAAUUUGUCAGCAGCUUCUGGUAAUUUUCGGCAGUCGAUGACUUCACCUUCAUCCGGUGCCCAGUCCUCAUUCAAGAAAGAUAGGAAGAUGAAUGGCGUUCUGUUCGAAAUUUCUGACAACCAUAACACUAGCCGCGGCCAUAGAACCACUGAUCAGAAACUUCAAGUAACACCAUCGAGUAAAGUAUUAUCGAGACUUAGACAAACGAGGAGAAGAAUAGUUACAUUAAGCUCUUCUGAUUCAGAUGAAAACUAUACUGAGCAGAACCACAAAGGUAAGAGAAAAAGGAUUCGUUAAGUGCAAAAGAGUUCCUGGCGGACUCGCGUAAGUGGUUUAUCUACGGAGGAAGAGGGAGAUCAUCAAUUCUGUUGUAGGAUGGGGGAAUGUGAGGAGCUCAAUUCAAGAAAAAUAUCAAAACGGUGCGAGUGAUUCGCUAGAUGAUACUGACGUGGAUUCAGGACAAGAAAUUGAUGAAAAUG